UAUUUUAAAAAGAUGUUGAUUUGAAUUAUUUCGAAAAGUUUAGGUGUCAGGUGGACUUCGCGACAAUGUCGCGCGAUACUGCCUUAUUCUAUCCAAUAUGGACGACCUGCGCUGGAUAUUGACAGAUUUCAGAUCCCGAUCGAAACGUACAGCAAGAGAGGCGUGUUUUUGAAAGUUGAAAAUGGAAGUUACCAACUUCGAUGAUGAUGACAACCCCACCUACAAUCAUAGUUACUCUUUACUGGGCUCAGUCUACGAACCUGCCAAAACUACAUCACUAGUUUUUUCAGAUGAUAAUCGAUUGGACAAACUUGACAAAUAUUACAGAAAUGGUAA